rnacentral:ncRNA from 1 species
CAGCUCAUUGUGAAGCAGAAUUCACCAAACAUUGGAUUGUUCACCCACUAAGGGACCGUGAGCUGGGUUUAGACUGUCGUGAGACAGGUU